CCUACGGGAGGCAGCAGUGAGGAAUAUUGGUCAAUGGACGAGAGUCUGAACCAGCCAAGUAGCGUGAAGGAUGACUGCCCUAUGGGUUGUAAACUUCUUUUAUAAAGGAAUAAAACGAGGCACGUGUGCCUUUUUGCAUGUACUUUAUGAAUACGGAUCGGCUAACUCUGUGCCAGCAGCCGCGGUAAUACGGAGGACCAGAGCGUUAUCCGUAUUUAUUGGGUUUAAAGGGAGCGUAGAUGGGUUGUUAAGUCAGUUGUGAAAGUUUGCGGCUCAACCGUAAAAUUGCAAUGGAUACUGGCAGUCUUGAGUACAGUUGAGGUAGGCGGAAUUCGUGGUGUAGCGGUGAAAUGCUUAGAUAUCACGAGGAACCCCGGUUGCGAAGGCAGCUUACUGAACUGUAACUGACAUUGAGGCUCGAAAGUGUGGGGAUCAAACAGGAUUAGAUACCCCAGUAGUC
rnacentral:rRNA from 1 species